UACGGAGGGUGCAAGCGUUGCUCGGAAUUACUGGGCGUAAAGGGCGUGUAGGCGGUUUCGUAUGUCUGGCGUGAAAGCCCCGGGCUCACCUCGGGAAGUGCGUCGGAAACUGCGAGACUAGAGUCCCGGAGAGGAAGGUGGAAUUCCAGGUGUAGCGGUGAAAUGCGUAGAUAUCUGGAGGAACACCGGUGGCGAAGGCGGCAUCCUGGACCGGUAUUGACGCUGAGUGAGCGAAAGCCAGGGGAGCAAACGGG
rnacentral:rRNA from 1 species